CGGGUCUGGGAAGAGGCCACGUGCAUGACCUGGGUCUCGCUUGGGGCUCAAAGUCUGGAUCAAUGUCCACCGGUGUCAGCUCCGUUUCCUCCAUAAUAGUUCGAGAAGAACAGUCUAUUAUCAGUGAAAGCGUUCAACUCCCCUGCAAAAACUACAACGUGAUGAUCGGCCCGUGAUCACUUGUACCCCCCAUCACUCGGGUUGGGGGGCAACUUUAGGUACAGUGAAGUGUGCACAAUCCUCUCAAUGGCUUCCGGAAAGUCUCUACGAUUCUAUGAGCCCCCAAUGCCGAUUCCCGUGAUCAGAAGACGGCUGCUGCCGGUUCCGCCUGAAUCAAUACAAGGUGGAGAACAUGAGCCUGAGAAGAUCAAUGCAAAUUGCCUAGAGAGAUGUCUGAAGUUGCAUAUGUCAGAAGCAACUUGGCAGGAACCUUAGCUCAUCAGUCUUCCUUUGGGUUCACUCCUGACCUUUAGAGAAUAAUAAGCAAUUUGGGUAUUAAUGGAUCUCCAGAGGGCUUUGAAUUAGGAGAAGGACUAGUUUAGUGUUUGGGUGCCUGUAUUAGGACCGUACAUUUUUUAAAUAUAUAUAUACUGUAAAGCAAGAAGUAAUGAAAAUCACAUUCCAA